rnacentral:rRNA from 1 species
AAUGCGGGACUCUAAGAGGCCCCGUAAUUGGAAUGAGUACACCUUAAAUCGUUUAACGAGUAUCAAUUGGAGGGCAAGUCUGGUGCCAGCAGCCGCGGUAAUUCCAGCUCCAAUAGCGUAUAUUAAAGUUGCUGCAGUUAAAAAGCUCGUAGUUGGAUCUGGGGCUUGAGGUCGCUGUCUAUCGUUUCGGCGAUGACGGUGAUGCUCAGCUCUGCUUGCCGGUGACUGUUGCGGUGUUCUUCACUGAGCGCUGUAGCAGCACGGCACGUUUACUUUGAAAAAAUUAGAGUGCUCAAAGCGUGCUUGUCGCUUGAAUAAUGUUGCAUGGAAUAAUGGAAUAGGACCUCGGUUCUAUUUUGUUGGUUUUCGGAGCUUGAGGUAAUGAUUAAGAGGGACGAACGGGGGCAUUCGUAUUGCGGUGUUAGAGGUGAAAUUCUUGGAUCGCCGCAAGACGGACUACUGCGAAAGCAUUUGCCAAGAACGCUUUCAUUAAUUAAGAACGAAAGUCAGAGGUUCGAAGACGAUCAGACACCGUCCUAGUUCUGACCAUAAACGAUGCCGACCAGCGAUCCGUAGUGGUUGCUUUAUGGACCCUACGGGCAGCCUCCGGGAAACCAAAGUAUUUGGGUUCCGGGGGAAGUAUGGUUGCAAAGCUGAAACUUAAAGGAAUUGACGGAAGGGCACACCAGGAGUGGAGCCUGCGGCUUAAUUUGACCCAACACGGGAAAACUCACCCGGUCCGGACACCGUAAGGAUUGACAGACUGAUAGCUCUUUCUUGAUUCGGUGGAUGGUGGUGCAUGGCCGUUCUUAGUUGGUGGAGUGAUUUGUCUGGUUAAUUCCGAUAACGAACGAGACUCUAGCCUGCUAAGUAGUGUUGCUAUUGUUAUAUGGUUGACACUUCUUAGAGGGACAAGUGGCAUUUAGCCACGCGAAAUUGAGCAAUAACAGGUCUGUGAUGCCCUUAGAUGUCCGGGGCCGCACGCGCGCUACACUGGAGAAGUCAGCGUGUGUUAUCCAAGUCCGAAAGGACUGGGUAAUCCGUUGAACCUUCUUCGUGCUUGGGACUGUGGCUUGGAACUAUUCCACAUGAACGAGGAAUUCCUAGUAAUUGCAAGUCAUAAGCUCGCGUUGAUUACGUCCCUGCCCUUUGUACACACCGCCCGUCGCUACUACCGAUUGAAUGGUUUAGCAAGGUCCUCGGAUCGUGGCCGUAGGGGCACGCAAGUGUUUCUGCGGUUUGCGAGAAGACGACCAAACUUGAUCAUUUAGA